rnacentral:rRNA from 1 species
AAGCUAGCUUCGGCUAGUGGAAAGCGGCGGACGGGUGAGUAACGCGUAGAAACAUACCCCAGAGUGAGGGAUAAUUCCGAGAAAUCGGGACUAAUACCGCAUACUAUCUACGGAUAAAAGAUUUAUCGCUUUGGGAAUGGUCUGCGUCUGAUUAGUUUGUUGGUGGGGUAAAGGCCCACCAAGACGAUGAUCAGUAGCUGGUCUGAGAGGAUGAUCAGCCACACUGGAACUGAGACACGGUCCAGACUCC